UGGGGAUGACGUCAAGUCCUCAUGGCCUUUAUGCCCAGGGCUACACACGUGCUACAAUGGGCGGUACAAAGAGAAGCAACCUCGCGAGGGUGAGCAAAUCUCAAAAGCCGUUCUCAGUUCGGAUUGAAGUCUGCAACUCGACUUCAUGAAGUCGGAAUCGCUAGUAAUCGCGGAUCAGCACGCCGCGGUGAAUACGUUCCCGGGCCUU
rnacentral:rRNA from 1 species